rnacentral:rRNA from 1 species
GAUGAACGCUAGCGGCAGGCCUAACACAUGCAAGUCGAGGGGCAGCACGUCUUCGGAUGGUGGCGACCGGCGCACGGGUGCGUAACGCGUAUGCAACCUACCUCUUACAGUGGGAUAGCCCAGAGAAAUUUGGAUUAAUACCGCAUAGUAUACAGAUUCAGCAUUUGGGACUGUAUUAAACAUUUAUGGGUAAGAGAUGGGCAUGCGUUCUAUUAGUUAGUUGGAGUGGUAACGGCACCCCAAGACAGCGAUAGAUAGGGGCCCUGAGAGGGGGAUCCCCCGACACUGGUACUGAGACACGGACCAGAC